rnacentral:rRNA from 1 species
UACGUAGGGUGCAAGCGUUGACCGGAAUUAUUGGGCGUAAAGAGCUCGUAGGCGGUUUGUCGCGUCGGCUGUGAAAACUCGGGGCUCAACCCCGAGCCUGCAGUCGAUACGGGCAGACUAGAGUGCUGUAGGGGAGACUGGAAUUCCUGGUGUAGCGGUGAAAUGCGCAGAUAUCAGGAGGAACACCGGUGGCGAAGGCGGGUCUCUGGGCAGUAACUGACGCUGAGGAGCGAAAGCGUGGGGAGCGAACAGG